rnacentral:misc_RNA from 1 species
CGGCCCUCCCUCUCUCCCUGCCAAUGCCGAACCACCUCUGGCAGUGACAGGGUGAGGCGCCGACGACGUGGGGAGGUCCGAGCGACGUAUCGGUACGGGUGUCGGCGGCCAGGCCCUGGCUAGCAUUGCGCCGAAGCCACCUGAGUCGGCGCACACGUUUGUGCCAUCCACGCUGUAGGCAGGGCGGCGGCGUGGCUCGAGCGUAUCCCACCCCCGCCCCUCGCAGUGCCCACUGGUGGUGCGGGGAGCCUGCGUGCUGCCGCGCGGGGGAUGCACCAGGCGGCGACCUGCGGAGCGGGUGUGUGGGUAGAGCUUGAGGCAGGGGCCGUGCUCUCGGAUAAAUGAGUGGGCUCAUUGUGCUGUAGCGCGUGUGUCUAGGGCUGCUUCGCACCUCGCGAUGGGUGCCCAUGGCAGGGCUGGAGGCUCGAGAGUGGUGGCUCCCUCGUGCUGUAUGGCAGAGACAGGGGCACACGCUGAGGAAAACAAGCUUCUCUGCGAAGGACUCGACGUGCUGCGCCUGUCGUUGUCUCGGGGUCUCUCUUGCGCGGCACGACAGCGUUGCCCUCCUUGUGGAGGAGAAAGCACGGCAUAGCGUUGUGCGGCGCGACUCUUACGAGGGCGAGGGGGACGGCAUGGCGCUCAUGGACGCACGCGCACGGAUUCCUCAUCUGUGACCCACCAUAGCCCCCCCCCCCCCCCCCCCCCCACACACACACACACACACACACGUUCGCGCGUGCGCGCGCAGAGAUGCACGGUGGCCACCGUCGCGUCUUGCUCACUCGUCUCUGACCCCUUUCUCCCCGCUGACUCCCUCUCUUUGCCGGCGGCCACGCCAG